UAAUGUUAAAGUUUCAAAGCAAUUCGAAGUUUCUACCAAUACCUGUGAUUGGUCAUUCCAUUAUGGCGUCCUCCUAUUUAGACCAAUCAGAUUCAUCGUUAAAGGGUGCGUUGCGCGGAGUGUGGUGGAGUGCAACAGUCCUCUUCGAAGCUUCGUACGUUUGGCACGUGUCUGCAACAGACCUGUUCGUGUACUUCGUUAGGUAUCGGCCGGUAGCAGAAUAUACCGAACAUUGCCGAGCGUUGCCGAAGUGCCGACCGGUCUACGAUGGGAAGGAAGGUCUCGGUCUCGCCAUUGCUCUCUCGAGCGUCGAACUGACAGGACGUGUUGAGAGCAUCCUUCCGCAUAAAUAAUAGAUAUUUGAUAGAUUUUGAAAGGACGCCACGACUCCUGAUAUGGGUUUGAAAUAGAAUUUCGUAAGAAUUUAUUGUUUUAAUUUAUUCUAAUCAAUUAUUAACGUUUAUUAUUACUUUUUUUUUAUUGAGUCAUCGUUGUUAAU